CGGCAGACGGGUGAGUAACACGUGGGUAACCUGCCCCAAGGUGGAGGAUAACUACUCGAAAGGGUAGCUAAUACUGCAUAAGACCACAGCUCUUCGGAGCAGAGGUUAAAGAUUUCGAUCGCCAUGGGAGGGGCCCGCGGCCGAUUAGCUAGUUGGUGAGGUAAUGGCUCACCAAGGCGACGAUCGGUAGCUGGUCUGAGAGGAUGAUCAGUCACACUGGUACUUAGACACGGACCAGACUCCUACGGGAGGCAGCAGUGGGGAAUAUUGCGCAAUGGGCGAAAGCCUGACGCAGCAACGCCGCGUGGGUGAAGAAGGCCUUCGGGUCGUAAAACCCUGUCAGGAGGGAAGAAACCUGCAUAGCAGCUGACGGUACCUCCAAAGGAAGCACCGGCUAACUCCGUGCCAGCAGCCGCGGUAAU
rnacentral:rRNA from 1 species